rnacentral:rRNA from 1 species
GAUGAACGCUGACAGAAUGCUUAACACAUGCAAGUCUACUUGAACUUCGGUUUGGGUGGCGCACGGGUGAGUAACGCGUAAAGAACUUACCACACAGUUAGGGACAACAUUUGGAAACGAAUGCUAAUACCUGAUAUUAUGAUUUUAGGGCAUCCUAAGAUUAUGAAAGCUAUAUGCGCUGUGAGAGAGCUUUGCGUCCCAUUAGCUAGUUGGAGAGGUAACGGCUCACCAAGGCGAUGAUGGGUAGCCGGCCUGAGAGGGUGAACGGCCACAAGGGGAGUGAGACACGGCCCUUACCCACACGGGAGGGAGGAGUGGAGAAUAGUGGACAAUGGACAAAAAGUCUGAUGCAGCAAUUCGGUGUGCAUGAUGACGUUUUGCGGAAUGUAAAGUGCUUUCAGUUGGGAAGAAAAAAAUGACGGUACCAACAGAAGAAGUGACGGCUAAAUACGUG